UUUAUAUUUACCAUAAACAAUGGUAGGAUACUACGUCAUCGCGCACCUGCUGAAUGCUCCCACUUGGACCAUUUUUUCGUCGAUUCGAAGACAUCACUUCUUACGUCGUUGGGCAGGACCCGGUGCCAUGGCAAAGUUUCAACUGACAGGAUCACUUUACAAAAAGGUGCACUUGGCUUGUGUUGGAUCCGAAGGGAUGAUUCAAAAUCAUUGCCAACAACAAAGAUAGGACUAUAAGACUUUAAAUGAACAGUUUGGAUCUCA